UGCCAGCCGCCGCGGUAAUACGUAGGGAGCGAGCGUUAUCCGGAAUUAUUGGGCGUAAAGGGUGCGUAGGCGGACCUUCAAGUCGGAUGUGAAAACUAUAGGCUCAACCUUGUGAUGCUAAGGAAACUGGAUGACUUGAGUGUGAUAGAGGUAAGUGGAAUUCCAUGUGUAGCGGUAAAAUGCGUAAAUAUAUGGAGGAACACCAGUGGCGAAAGCGGCUUUCUGGGUCAUAACUGACGCUGAGGUGCGAAAGCGUGGGGAGCGAACGGGAUUAGAUA
rnacentral:rRNA from 1 species